AUCUUCAGUCCAGUGCACGAGACAAACAGCGAAAGAAGGGAGGACAAGGUGGAUCGUCUGGAGGCGAGGAUGGAGACCGUAAACCAAAGUUUCAUUUACAGGUUAAAAACAUGAAGGAUGAUAUGAUGGACAGGUUCGCUAGUAUCCGUAUCCCGGGCAGUAAGAAGGAGCGUCCUCACCUCCCUCACGUCAAACACUCCUCCUCGUCUGAAUGGUCUUCCUCCGCCGCUGAGUUUGAGGACCUGUCCUCCAAGAUCACCUCAGAACAGGAGAUACUGGGCCUCUUCGAGAAGAUGAUGGUAG